GGCUGUAGGCCUGAGUCUAAGCAACUCCAUUUUAAAAACUCACCAGGAACAUCCACAGAGCCCUCCAGUAUGGCCUCCAACAAGUUACUUCUCCUCACCCUGUUAAAGAGAGUGAAGCUCCUGACAGGCUGUCCUUGCCUAAUAAGAGGAAAAAGCGAGAAGAUCAAGGGUGGAGACCAUCAGACCAGAUGUUUCUGACCUCAAGGUAAAUAAUGUCAUGGAGAAAUUCGGUGGUAGCUGAUAAGGAUUGAAAGGGGGGUCAAAAAAGCCCCCAAAUUUAGUAUAAAUAAUAGACCUGAUGAACAGGGAUUCAGCCAGCAGAAACAAGGAUGCACUUGAGCUGGAGAGCCUGAUGAGGACCUGGACUGACAUCCUAUCAUUUGUCAUCAUUUCCUGAUCCUCUGCAUGAUCCUCACUGCUCUCAAACUCUACUGGCUCAUCUGGACCUUGAUGAGAGCCAUAACUUCUCCCAAUGACCCUCUUCUCAACCAGUCAUCCACUCCAUGAAAGGAGAAGCCUGCCUUGGUUCAGGACCUGAUCACCAUGGUCUGGGUGAGUGUGCAUCUACUGGACAUAAAGCCUAAGGAUUAAGACUUUUGAACUUAGCACACAGAGGGAAUGUCUGCCAUUAGCCUGUCAUGAUUAAGUGUGUUUGCAGUGCUUAGAAUUAAUCUAGAAUUGUUUGCUGUGAAUUGAUUAUGUCUAUUGCAAUGCCUAGCAUUAAAGGAUUGUCAUUUUCUUGAUUAAGAACCGAUAGAGUAAAAUUGUAUUGAGUAAUUUGAGUGAAUAAAGUAUUGAAAGGAG
rnacentral:lncRNA from 1 species